rnacentral:tRNA from 1 species
GGAGAGAUGGCUGAGUUCGGUUGAAGGCGCUCGACUCGAAAUCGAGUGAGCCGUUGAUAGCGGCUCCGUGGGUUCGAAUCCCACUCUCUCCGCCA